CUUCUACCUAAUCAUAUAAGUAAUUAUUGGGAUAAAUGUAUAUGUUCGUUGUCGUAAUACAUGAAGUCUUGCUUGAGAAUGCUCCGGGCACCUGAUUGUGGAAGGAAGAAUGGAAAUUAUAAUAACACAAUCCUAAUUCUAAUAGAAUACUAACAAUGCUCUAAUUAAACCAUAAUAAUGCUAAACAAGCUUAAUCAAAUUCAAAAAAAACUCAAAGAAAUUUCAAACAAACAAUAAGAAUUCUUAAAAAAAUAUUAAAAGGAUCACAAAUAUCACUCAAAUACAUCUCAAUUCAAUCUUAAUUUAAUUCUAAUUAAAAUUCUAUUGAACUUCAUUCAAACUUUAGGCCAAAACUAAUUGAAUCUUAAAUCCUAAUAAAAUCCUAAACCCUAGAUCAAAUCUUAAACAAACCUUAAAUCAAACCCUAACCAAAUCCUAAAUCAAAUCCUAAAUUCUAAAUCAAAUCCUAACCAAAUCCUAAUUCAGAUCCUAAACCCUAACCCAAACCCUAAUCAAAUCCUAAAUCCUAAAUUAAACCCUAAUCAAAUCCUAACCAAACCCUAAAUCCUAAAUCAAACCCUAACCAAAUCUUAACCAAAUCCUAAAUCCUAAAUCAAAUCCUAAUCCAAAUCCUAAACCCUAAACCAAACCCUAAUCAAAUCCUAAACCAAAUCCUAAACCCUAAAUCAAACCUUAAUUCAAAUCCUAAACCCUAAACCAAAUCCUAACCAAAUCCUAAACCAAACCCUAGUAAUUCCUAUAACAGAUUUAAACCUCAAUAACUAAUGAAUAAACCGUUGAUCUUAAUUCAAAUUUUUCAU
rnacentral:lncRNA from 1 species